GUAAGGGAACAGUCAUUAUUUACCAGCUGGGGGGUUUGGGAAAUUUUUUUGUGAAAUGAACAAAAUAAAAAUGAACCCCCCAGUCAUAUUGUAAAUUUAAAAAUGACCCCCCCAAAUGUAGUUAACAAAAAACUUUGACCCCCCCAUCUGGUUAUAUUAUUUAUUAAUGAUUUAAACCAUUUAAUUAACAGCAUAUUUUUAGCUCACCUGGCCGGCAGGGCCAAGUGACCUUUUCUCAUCACUUGGCGUCCGUCGUUGUCGUUAACAUUUUACAUUUUGAACUUCUCCUCGAGAACCACUGAAUGGAAUGAAACCAACCAUGGCAUUAAUGUUCCUUAUGAGGUGCUGACCAAGAGUUGUUACUUUGUAGCCGAUCCAUCAUCCAAGAUGGCCGCCAGCGGGGGACUUAGUUUAACAUAGGAACCUAUGGGAAAUGCAUACAAAUGACUUCUUUUAGAGUACCACUGAAUGGAAUGAAACCAAACAUGGCAUGAGUGUUCCUUAUGAGGUGCUGACAAAGUGUUGUUACUUUGUACCCGAUCCAUUAUCCAAGAUGGCCGCCAGACUGGGGCUUAGUUUAACAUGGUACACUAUAGGAACUACUGAAUGAAAUAAAACCAAACAUAACAAUAUUAAACCAAAUUUGGACUAUAACAUCAUUAUAAGUAUCUGUUACAAUUUUUUACAUUUUUUAUUAAUAUUUCAAAAUCCCAAAUAGAAUCAGGUGAGCGACACAGGCUCUUGAGAGCCUCUAGUUUAAUGUGGUUAUCAAGAAUUCUAUUUUGUCCAUAAUUAAAAAUAUCUCAAUGUAUAAAACUAUCAACUGCAUUUGGGUUGGUCCCUAGGAUAAAGCU
rnacentral:lncRNA from 1 species